rnacentral:tRNA from 1 species
AGCUUUAUAGUCAAUUAUUUAAUAUGAUAUUAGACUGCAAUUCUAAAGUAGGCAUAAGCCUAAAGCUU